GUCCCCUUCGUCUAGAGGCCCAGUACACCGCCCUUUCACGGCGGUAACAGGGGUUCGAAUCCCCUAGGGGACGCCA
rnacentral:tRNA from 1 species